CAGCGGGUGCAAGUCCCGUCCCGGCAAAGGUCGUCCCAGCCGGGUAGCUAUCUUGACAACUGAGGAGGUGACAAAUCGGUUGAAGCUCAGGAGACAAACAGCGUUGAAAGGACGCUGGCAAAUCAGCAGGCCGUAACGUUA
rfam:Lentisphaerae bacterium GWF2_45_14 gwf2_scaffold_8161, whole genome shotgun sequence.